rnacentral:rRNA from 1 species
CGCCUNUAGCAAAACCAGUAUUAGAGGUACUGCCUGCCCAGUGAUAAAUUUAACGGCCGCGGUAUUUUGACCGUGCAAAGGUAGCAUAAUCACUUGUCUUCUAAAUAAAGACUAGUAUGAACGGCAAAACGAAGGUUUAACUGUCUCCUUUGUCCACUCAAUGAAAUUGAUCUCACAGUACAAAAGCUGUGAUUAAACAACAAGACGAGAAGACCCUAUGGAGCUUAAAACUUACUAAAAAUUGUAAUAAAUUUAUUAAUUUAAUACACUAAUUUUAUACUGUUUUUGGUUGGGGCGACCACGGAGAAUACAUAUCCUCCGAGAUGAUACAUCAGGAAACAAUCCAAAACUUCAGAAAACUGACAUAAUUGACCCAAUAACUUUGACCAACGAACCAAGUUACCCUAGGGAUAACAGCGCAAUCCUCUUCAAGAGCCCAUAUCGACAAGAGGGCUUACGACCUCGAUGUUGGAUCAGGAUAACCUGACAGUGCAACCGCUGUCAAAGGUUUGUUUGUUCAACAAUUAAAAUCCU